rnacentral:rRNA from 1 species
AAGCGCUUGCAACUAGACUUGCGCGCGGUCGAUCAACCGGGGUUCUCCCCGGGGCACUCGGCCGCGCUCAGGCCAGCAUCGUUUUCGGUGGUUGGAUAAAAGUUUUGGGAAUGUAGCUUCUUUCGGGGAGUGUUAUAGCCCUUGACAUAAUGCAGCCUACCGGGAGCGAGGACCGCGCUUCGGCUAGGAUGCUGGCGUAAUAGUUGUAAGCG